AAGGGAGACCUAAUUCGGGUAUAAGACGAAAAAAUAGUAGUCGAAACCAAGAAUCAAUCCCAAAAGGUCGGAACGAGGUAUGUGGCUUUCAAACUAGGUUCUGGGUUCACAUAAGACCUGAAUCAGGAACAAGGGCUAUUAGCUCAGGUGGUUAGAGCGCACCCCUGAUAAGGGUGAGGUCCCUGGUUCGAGUCCAGGAUGGCCCACCUGUACAGGUGGCAAAAAGAAAGAAAAGAAGCGAGGAAUCAGCACCUUAUCUUACUGACAUAGUAAGAGAGAAUGCUGGCUCUGAGUAAAGAGUCCAGAGGAACCUUGAAAACUGCAUAGAGCUAGGUGAAAAAGCCAAAAAAGAAGACCGCAA
rnacentral:tRNA from 1 species